UAGGGAAUCUUCCACAAUGGGCGCAAGCCUGAUGGAGCAACACCGCGUGAGUGAAGAAGGGUUUCGGCUCGUAAAGCUCUGUUGUUGGAGAAGAACACUGUANNNAGAGUAACUGUUCAUACGUUGACGGUAUUUAACCAGAAAGUCACGGCUAACUACGUGCCAGCAGCCGCGGUAAUACGUAGGUGGCAAGCGUUAUCCGGAUUUAUUGGGCGUAAAGAGAGUGCAGGCGGUUUUCUAAGUCUGAUGUGAAAGCCUUCGGCUUAACCGGAGAAGGGCAUCGGAAACUGGAUAACUUGAGUGCAGAAGAGGGUAGUGGAACUCCAUGUGUAGCGGUGGAAUGCGUAGAUAUAUGGAAGAACACCAGUGGCGAAGGCGGCUACCUGGUCUGCAACUGACGCUGAGACUCGAAAGCAUGGGUAGCGAACAGGAUUAGAUACCCUGGUAGUCCAUGCCGUAAACGAUGAGUGCUAGGUGUUGGAGGGUUUCCGCCCUUCAGUGCCGGAGCUAACGCAUUAAGCACUCCGCCUGGGGAGUACGACCGCAAGGUUG
rnacentral:rRNA from 1 species